rnacentral:rRNA from 1 species
UACAGAGGGUGCGAGCGUUGUUCGGAAUUACUGGGCGUAAAGCGCGCGCAGGCGGCCUUUUAAGUCUGACGGUGAAAUGCCGGGGCUCAACCCCGUGCCCGCCGGAGAUACUGGGAGGCUGGAGACGAGUAGAGGCAAGCGGAAUUCCGGGUGUAGCGGUGGAAUGCGUAGAGAUCCGGAAGAACACCGGAGGCGAAGGCGGCUUGCUGGGACGGUACUGACGCUGAGACGCGAAAGCGUGGGGAGCAAACAGG